GAGUAUUCUCAAAAGUAGUGCGGUGUUAACUCCGCCCACGAAGGGAGAUAACUUAGUCUGUUGUAAAAAAUGGCGGUGUUAAAAUUUCCCUCUUUUAUUGACGCCGACAAUUACAUCAAAGAGGAAGAAAUCAAAACGUGCGAACGUUUUGUUUUUUUGGCAAGACGUUGUUGCAAGUUAUCUUAAUUGGUCGGCAGUUUUAUUGCUUCAGAGAUAAGGCAAUAUUGAAAUAUACCGACUUUGCGCUUAAAUGUGAAGUGUUUGUCACAGUGUUCGAAGCAGAUUCAAGACCGUUAAAUUGACAACAAUGACAAUCAAAAAGAAUACCAUAAAGCUUCUGAAGCACCAAAACUGUGGCAACAUAUUCAGGCUGCUAAGAAGGUGUCAAUUAACAAGAGUUACAACUGAUUGAAUGUGCCUUUAUUUAAUUAACAAUGUUAAAUGUGUUGUUAUUAUUAAUACUACUGUUAUUAAAUCAAUUCCUUUAACAUAC